rnacentral:rRNA from 1 species
GUCAGGCGGGGCCACCCGCCGAGUUUAAGCAUAUAAAUAAGCGGAGGAGAAGAAACUUACGAGGAUUCCCCUAGUAACGGCGAGCGAACCGGGAUCAGCCCAGCUUGAGAAUCGGGCGGCCGCGCCGUCCGAAUUGUAGUCUGGAGAAGCGUCCUCAGCGACGGACCGGGCCCAAGUCCCCUGGAAAGGGGCGCCGGGGAGGGUGAGAG